GUCGAGGAUCUUUAGCAAUGGGGGAAACCCUGACUAUGCGACGCCGCGUGAGGGAUGAAGGUUUUCGGAUCGUAAACCUCUUUCGAUGGGGAAGAACAUUUGCAUUAACUGUGCAAACUGACGGUACCCAGAGAAGAAGCCACGGCCAACUCCGUGCCAGCAGCCGCGGUAAUACGGGGGUGGCGAGCGUUACUCGGAUUUAUUGGGUGUAAAGGGCAGGUAGGCGUUCCAUCAAGUUGGGAGUGAAAUCCUGAGGCUCAACCUCAGAACUGCUUUCAAAACUGAUGGAAUUGAGACUGGAAGAGGAGAGCGGAAUUCCCGGUGUAAGGGUGAAAUCUGUAGAUAUCGGGAGGAACACCAGUGGCGAAAGCGGCUCUCUGGUCCAGUUCUGACGCUAAGCUGCGAAAGCUAGGGGAGCAAACAGGAUUAGAUACCCCUGUAGUCC
rnacentral:rRNA from 1 species